AAUACUCCUGACUGACCGAUAGUGAACCAGUACCGUGAGGGAAAGGCGAAAAGAACCCCGGCGAGGGGAGUGAAAAAGAACCUGAAACCGUGUACGUACAAGCAGUGGGAGCACCCUUUGGGGUGUGACUGCGUACCUUUUGUAUAAUGGGUCAGCGACUUAUAUUCUGUAGCAAGGUUAACCGAAUAGGGGAGCCGGAGGGAAACCGAGUCUUAAUUGGGCGUUAAGUUGCAGGGUAUAGACCCGAAACCCGGUGAUCUAGCCAUGGGCAGGUUGAAGGUUGGGUAACACUAACUGGAGGACCGAACCGACUAAUGUUGAAAAAUUAGCGGAUGACCUGUGGCUGGGGGUGAAAGGCCAAUCAAACCGGGAGAUAGCUGGUUCUCCCCGAAAGCUAUUUAGGUAGCGCCUCGUGAAUUCAUCUCCGGGGGUAGAGCACUGUUUCGGCUAGGGGGCCAUCCCGGCUUACCAACCCGAUGCAAACUGCGAAUACCGGAGAAUGUUAUCACGGGAGACACACGGCGGGUGCUAACGUCCGUCGUGAAGAGGGAAACAACCCAGACCGCCAGCUAAGGUCCCAAAGUCAUGGUUAAGUGGGAAACGAUGUGGGAAGGCCCAGACAGCCAGGAUGUUGGCUUAGAAGCAGCCAUCAUUUAAAGAAAGCGUAAUAGCUCACUGGUCGAGUCGGCCUGCGCGGAAGAUGUAACGGGGCUAAACCAUGCACCGAAGCUGCGGCAGCGACACUCAGGUGUUGUUGGGUAGGGGAGCGUUCUGUAAGCCUGUGAAGGUGGCCUGUGAGGGUUGCUGGAGGUAUCAGAAGUGCGAAUGCUGACAUAAGUAACGAUAAAGCGGGUGAAAAGCCCGCUCGCCGGAAGACCAAGGGUUCCUGUCCAACGUUAAUCGGGGCAGGGUGAGUCGACCCCUAAGGCGAGGCCGAAAGGCGUAGUCGAUGGGAAACGGGUUAAUAUUCCCGUACUUGGUGUUACUGCGAAGGGGGGACGGAGAAGGCUAUGUUGGCCGGGCGACGGUUGUCCCGGUUUAAGCGUGUAGGUGUGUGUUCCAGGUAAAUCCGGUUCACUUUAACACUGAGGCGUGACGACGAGGCACUACGGUGCUGAAGCAACAAAUGCCCUGCUUCCAGGAAAAGCCUCUAAGCAUCAGGUAACAUCAAAUCGUACCCCAAACCGACACAGGUGGUCAGGUAGAGAAUACCAAGGCGCUUGAGAGAACUCGGGUGAAGGAACUAGGCAAAAUGGUGCCGUAACUUCGGGAGAAGGCACGCUGA
rnacentral:rRNA from 1 species